rnacentral:rRNA from 1 species
CCUACGGGUGGCUGCAGUGGGGAAUAUUGCACAAUGGGCGCAAGCCUGAUGCAGGCAUGCCGCGUGUGUGAAGAAGGCCUUCGGGUUGUAAAGCACUUUCAGCGGGGAGGAAGGCGGUGAGGUUAAUAACCUCAUCGAUUGACGUUACCCGCAGAAGAAGCACCGGCUAACUCCGUGCCAGCAGCCGCGGUAAUACGGAGGGUGCAAGCGUUAAUCGGAAUUACUGGGCGUAAAGCGCACGCAGGCGGUCUGUCAAGUCGGAUGUGAAAUCCCCGGGCUCAACCUGGGAACUGCAUUCGAAACUGGCAGGCUAGAGUCUUGUAGAGGGGGGUAGAAGUCCAGGUGUAGCGGUGAAAUGCGUAGAGAUCUGGAGGAAUACCGGUGGCGAAGGCGGCCCCCUGGACAAAGACUGACGCUCAGGUGCGAAAGCGUGGGGAGCAAACAGGAUUAGAUACCCGAGUAGUC